CAGUAGCCGCGGUAAUACGUAGGUGGCAAGCGUUGUCCGGAAUUAUUGGGCGUAGAGGGCUCGCAGGCGGUUUCUUAAGUCUGAUGUGAAAGCCCCCGGCUCAACCAGGGAGGGUCAUUGGAAACUGGGAAACUUGAGUGCAGAAGAGGAGAGUGGAAUUCCACGUGUAGCGGUGAAAUGCGUAGAGAUGUGGAGGAACACCAGUGGCGAAGGCGACUCUCUGGUCUGUAACUGACGCUGAGGAGCGAAAGCGUGGGGAGCGAACAGGAUUAGAUACCCCCGUAGUCCCUGUCUCUUAUAC
rnacentral:rRNA from 1 species